rnacentral:rRNA from 1 species
AGAACGAACGCUGGCGGCAGGCUUAACACAUGCAAGUCGAACGCUCCGCAAGGAGAGUGGCAGACGGGUGAGUAACACGUGGGAACGUACCCUUUACUACGGAAUAACGCAUGGAAACGUGUGCUAAUACCGUAUGUGCCCUUUUGGGGAAAGAUUUAUCGGUAAAGGAUCGGCCCGCGUUGGAUUAGCUAGUUGGUGGGUAAAGGCCUACCAAGGCGACGAUCCAUAGCUGGUCUGAGAGGAUGAUCAGCCACAUUGGGACUGAGACACGGCCCAAACUCCUACGGGAGGCAGCAGUGGGGAAUAUUGGACAAUGGGCGCAAGCCUGAUCCAGGCCAUGCCGCGUGAGUGAUGAAGGCCCUAGGGUUGUAAAGCUCUUUCACCGGAGAAGAUAAUGACGGUAUCCGGAGAAGAAGCCCGGCUAACUUCGUGCCAGCAGCCGC